UCUCCAGACUCAUCAAGUUGUACACAUCAAAUACAUACAGCUUUUUGUAUGUCAAUUAUACCUCAGUGAAAUGGUUAAAAAUAGACAAAUCCUUGAGGA